AGUGAACGCUGGCGGUAGGCCUAACACAUGCAAGUCGAACGGCAGCACAGUAAGAGCUUGCUCUUACGGGUGGCGAGUGGCGGACGGGUGAGGAAUACAUCGGAAUCUACUUUUUCGUGGGGGAUAACGUAGGGAAACUUACGCUAAUACCGCAUACGACCUACGGGUGAAAGCAGGGGAUCUUCGGACCUUGCGCGAUUGAAUGAGCCGAUGUCGGAUUAGCUAGUUGGCGGGGUAAGGGCCCACCAAGGCGACGAUCCGUAGCUGGUCUGAGAGGAUGAUCAGCCACACUGGAACUUAGACACGGUCCAGACGCCUACGGGAGGCAGCAGUGGGGAAUGUUGGACAAUGGGGGGAAGCCUGAUCCAGCCAUACCGCGUGUGUGAAGAAGGCCUUCGGGUUGUAAAGCCGUUUUGUUGGGAAAGAAAAGCAGUAGGUUAAUACCCCGCGGUUCUGACGGUACCCAAAGAAUAAGCACCGGCUAACUUCGUG
rnacentral:rRNA from 1 species